UACGAAGGGGGCUAGCGUUGUUCGGAAUCACUGGGCGUAAAGCGCACGCAGGCGGAUUGAUAAGUCAGGGGUGAAAUCCCGAGGCUCAACCUCGGAACUGCCUUCGAUACUGCGGGUCUCGAGUCCGGGAGAGGUGAGUGGAAUUCCUAGUGUAGAGGUGAAAUUCGUAGAUAUCAGGAAGAACACCCGUGGCGAAGGCGGCUCUCUGGGACGGUACUGACGCUGAGACGCGAAAGCGUGGGGAGCGAACAGG
rnacentral:rRNA from 1 species